CCCUGUCUCUCUCUUUCUCUCAAAAAUAAACAUUUUUUAAAAAUGCGGUGAAAAGUUCAGGGCAUCGAGAGGAAAAGUGAGGUGUUGCAUUUAGAGAAAUAUACAUAAAAUUGGAGAAGUAAAGGAAUAUGGGAGAAAAUGGCGAGAAAUGGGAUCUGGAGGUGAGAGGAAUUAUGUGGGACCACUCAAAACCAGGUUAUUGAAAGUCGGUGGUAGAAAGGAACAAGCUCUGGGUCUCCCUGCUGCACUGCUUGCCCAUGUGACUCUCUAAGAUGGGCUGGGAUGUGGACGGAUGUGUAUACUGCAGAUAACACAAUCGUAGGAUGCGUACAUUGCUCAAAGCAGGGUUGGCCUUGCCUCUUCUCUGUGCCAAAAUUUAUGCAAAAUAGAAAAAUCAAGAAAUGUCCUCCCUCCCCCGAAAAAAAAUACAUCACCUUCUGUUGUCUUCAUCAGUAGGUUUCGAUGCACCUAAUAACCCACUUGGAAACACCAUAAUCGGGUCUUUGUUAUUGCUGGUGUGGAACUUGAACUCUGGGAGUAGACAAGUUCAUGGCCCUGUUCUGCCCUUGGUGACCAUUGGCUUGGACUUUCCUCUUCUGCCUGCCUUUCAGGUGGCUGAAAAUGCCCACUGCAUUGAUUUGGUGCAUUCAGCAAAUAAGUUAGAGGCAUCAUGUUAAGAAUACAGUUCUGGGUUUGGGACUUCAGAGGGCCCUGGGAGCAGAUCUGGAAGGCAUUGCCGUGGGGUGGAGACUUUGUAACCAGGAGGAUGAGUAUGAACAAGGGAGACAGGUCCCUUCUGUUGCAAGCUGCUGGGUCCAUGGAAGAAUAAGACGUCUGUGGCAAGUGUAGACACCCAAGGAUAUGAACGGAUUUUUUGAGGGGUGAAGAAAACCAUGGUUGAGAGAAAUCAGAACCAAAGACUUUUCACUUUUAAUCUCAAAUGAGCCUAACUAUGACCAGUCCGUGCCACUCUACGGAGAAUAUACUUGAUCCUUUAAGAAUGAUUCAGGAUUUCCUCAAGGAAGAUGGAAUUUUAUAUCCGUGUGCAUCGCCAUUCUUGGAAAUCAAGGUGUUAGGACACACUUGAUUGAAGAACCUAUUAAGUAAAUACAAUAAUUGCUGCUUAACUGAUUGCAGAGGACUGUGUAAGCUUGAGUUAACAAUUGCAUGGGGUAACCCUUGAAAACUGUCCCUUCCUUGGAAUGUUUGCAUUCAGAACAGAGUCCUUUUCUGAUUUUUAAGUCAAAAAGAAGACACAUUCUUCCUUUUGCAGGUUUUCUUAAUUUGUCAUUUCACCCAGCGUAUGAACAUGAACGGUUGACUCUUUUCAGUUGUUUUAGGUAAAGUGGCUGCUGUCUUUAUUGGGAAGAGGGACACAGGCAUCCUUCUACUGACAAGGAAAGCAGUGAUGGGCAUUUGGGUACAGGAGAAAGGUAGGAACUUUUCCAAGGAGAAGCGUUGAACCUGAGGGUCAGAAUGCAUUAGCUUGAUUGGACAUGGCUGGGAAUUCAGAUCCUGCUGAUGAUUGUGUCAGAGAAAUGGGUUUUAAACAAUCCCUAACAAGAUAAAUACCUCCAUAGUUCUUCUGUAUCUUGACUUCCUUCCCUUCGUGUAUUCAAGGAAGUUAGUCCUUCCAAGUCACAUAAUGGAAAAAUCUCCCAAAGGCAACCUGAGGGGGACAUUUAAAGACCCCUAAGGCGGAAACGCUUCAUGACCAAAAGAAUCUGGCCUGCAGACCACUUUUUGUUUAUUCUGCCUUUUGCCUGAACACCUCCUUUACAACAAGUAUGGAAGGAAUGUACGCAUCUAUACCUAGCCCGCAGCAGGGAUACCCCGGGGUGCCCUAUUCUUGAAGAUACCUUCCUAUUUUUUCCCAAUCACAUGUCAAGAAGUCACUGGCUUUGUGAAAAUGACCCUAGCAGAUGCAAGGUGCAGAUUCAAAGUCAAUUUCUCGGGAAGAAAAAUCUCACUCAGAUACUGCAGCGGUCUUGUAGAUUUAACAAUGUAAAUGUAUUUCUCAAAUAAAAUUACAUUGGAACAUGUUGCUUAGGUAUGUUGAGCCUAAUGCUUAGGACAGUGUAUCUUUUAUUUAAAAAAAAAAAAAAACACAAUAGCUUUUUGAAUGAAGUGUGCAUUUCCCAGUAUAAAAGAAUCAGAAAUAUU